UACGAAGGGGGCUAGCGUUGCUCGGAAUUACUGGGCGUAAAGCGCACGUAGGCGGUUUCUUAAGUCGGGGGUGAAAUCCUGGAGCUCAACUCCAGAACUGCCUUCGAUACUGGGAAACUUGAGUCCGGGAGAGGUGAGUGGAACUGCGAGUGUAGAGGUGAAAUUCGUAGAUAUUCGCAAGAACACCAGUGGCGAAGGCGGCUCACUGGCCCGAUACUGACGCUGAGGCACGAAAGCGUGGGGAGCAAACAGG
rnacentral:rRNA from 1 species